AUUGAACGCUGGCGGCAGGCCUAACACAUGCAAGUCGAACGAGUGGCGGACGGGUGAGUAAUGUCUGGGAAUCUGCCUUAUGGAGGGGGAUAACUACGGGAAAACGUAGCUAAUACCGCAUACCAUAGGAUGAGCCCAGGUGGGAUUAGCUAGUUGGGGGGGUAAAGGCUCACCAAGCCGACGAUGCCUAGCUGGUCUGAGAGGAUGACCGGCCACACUGGGACUGAGACACGGCCCAGACUCCUACGGGAGGCAGCAGUGGGGAAUAUUGCGCAAUGGGCGCAAGCCUGACGCAGCAAUGCCGCGUGAGUGAAGAAGGCCUUCGGGUUGUAAAGUUCUUUCGUUAGCGAGGCGGUAACUACAGAGAAAGCACCGGCUAACUCCGUGCCAGCAGCCGCGGUAAUAC
rnacentral:rRNA from 1 species